rnacentral:rRNA from 1 species
UACGUAGGGUGCAAGCGUUGUCCGGAAUCAUUGGGCGUAAAGCGCGCGUAGGUGGCUUCGUAAGUCCGUUGUGAAAGUCAAAGGCUCAACCUUUGAAAGCCGAUGGAUACUGCGGAGCUAGAGUACGGAAGAGGCGAGUGGAAUUCCUGGUGUAGCGGUGGAAUGCGCAGAUAUCAGGAGGAACACCAAUAGCGAAGGCAGCUCGCUGGGACGUUACUGACACUAAGGCGCGAAAGCGUGGGGAGCAAACAGG